CGGCCUGGCGCGCGCGGGGGGGGGAGCAGCGCAGGCAGGUGCGCCGCGCCCCCACCGACUGCAGGCCAGCCGCGGGCAGAGCGACAGAGGCCUGGAGGGGAAGCCCCCCGCUCCCCACCCCCUUAGCGUUGUUCGCUCCAGAGGGGGGAAAGUAAUGUCAGCCUUCAAAGGCGCUGGAAACAGGUUGUCAUCAGCCUUGGUUUGACAUUUCCUGCAGCUGUAAUAAAGCAAAAUGAAUUAAUUUCAUUCCUGAUAUGUUGCCAGACAUAAGGAGGUUGUUUAAAAAAAGAUUUAGGGCCAAGUUCAUUCCUAGUGUCCAGUCACUGACUCCCAAUUGUUUUUCUGUUGAGGCAUUUUACUGAACAUUUCUCUGUGAAUCCACAAAAAUGUGAACCAGAUAUUGUGAAAGUAAGCUUGAGUAUAAAAUCAGAUGCCUUCUAGAAUGUUUACUUAUAGAAGAAUUGAAUAGGACACACAUCAUAUUGAUAUUCCUAAUUUCCCAUAUAUCUGAACUCUAUAAAACCACCAUUUGCGAUAGUCCUGCCACUCUCAAUAAAAUAAAAAUAAAACAUUG